rnacentral:rRNA from 1 species
UAGGCUGCAACUCGCCUACACGAAGUCGGAAUCGCUAGUAAUCGCGGAUCAGCAUGCCGCGGUGAAUACGUUCCCGGGUCUUGUACACACCGCCCGUCACACCAUGGGAGUCGGAAAUGCCCGAAGUCUGUGACCCAACCAUUAAGGAGGGAGCAGCCGAAGGCAGGUCGGAUGACUGGGGUGAAGUCGUAACAAGGUACC